UGCAAACAAUCAUGUUGUUUCAGAUUUCGACGAAAAGUACCUUUUCAGAUUUGUGAUUCCGACCCCGGCUGCCACCAACAAGGACGCGUUUUUAGCGACAGAUUCUCUCGGUGAAUCCCGAAUUGUGUGGACCUGUUCUUGUGCAUUCUAGUCGACAUUGUCGAGGAUGGUCGUGGGCAAAGUUCGUCGCGGCCAUUUAGAUAGGUAUAUUUAGCUUAUCUUCCCUCCUCCUCUUCGUCCUCCUCUUGAGUAAAAAAGUCUUUUCGAGCGGCCAAGCAGCAGUUGAUAUUCUGUUGACGGAGCUGGCAAUAGAACCAAUGCAGCCCGAGAGUUUUCGGCCUAAAUGGAAACAUCACAAAGAAUGUACUGGUUUGUACCUGAAGCAUGCUUUGAUCUUAAAAUGAAUUUCGUCAAGUGCGACAGGUCAUCAGGGUGCGACACGCUCUCAUCAACCAGCGGUGCCACUUUUAUCUAAACUCGAAGCUUCCAAACUACGAAUAACCGGCGUGAUAUAGCUGCGCCGUUUCCUAUCGCAAGCGAUUUCAAGUCAAGCAGAGUACCUAAUUGACGACGUCCACAGGAUGGCGAAGAUGGAGCUGGCAUCGAAAAUGCUACAGUUGUGCUGGAUGGGGCGUACGACUUUGAUCAACAUCCUGCUGUAGCGAAAGUUUCCUUCAGAUUUGUUUAACUUAGAAUUAGAAAUGUCUUUUUUUU